AGCGAACGCUGGCGGCAUGCUUAACACAUGCCAGUCGCACGGGCAGCAAUGUCAGUGGCGGACGGGUGAGUAACGCGUAGGAACGUGUCCUGAGGUGGGGGACAACCCCGGGAAACUGGGGCUAAUACCGCAUAUGGGCUGAGGCCCAAAGCCGAGAGGCGCCUUUGGAGCGGCCUGCGUCCGAUUAGGUAGUUGGUGGGGUAAAGGCCUACCAAGCCUGCGAUCGGUAGCUGGUCUGAGAGGACGACCAGCCACACUGGGACUGAGACACGGCCCAGACUCCUACGGGAGGCAGCAGUGGGGAAUAUUGGACAAUGGGCGAAAGCCUGAUCCAGCAAUGCCGCGUGGGUGAAGAAGGUCUUCGGAUCGUAAAGCCCUUUCGACGGGGACGAUGAUGACGGUACCCGUAGAAGAAGCCCCAGCUAACUUCGUG
rnacentral:rRNA from 1 species